UGUGGCGAGAUUUUCUGUUGUGCUUGAUCUAACCAUGUGGUUGCCAGGUAUGAGUAAAACAUGGUUCCGUCAAGCACCAUGGAACGUCACGCAGCU
rnacentral:pre_miRNA from 9 species